rnacentral:rRNA from 1 species
AACGAACGCUGGCGGCAGGCUUAACACAUGCAAGUCGAACGGUUGUAGCAAUACAGCAGUGGCAGACGGGUGAGUAACACGUGGGAACCUUCCUAGGGGUACGGAACAACUCAGGGAAACUUGAGCUAAUACCGUAUACGUCCGUGAGGAGAAAGAUUUAUCGCCCUUAGACGGGCCCGCGUCGGAUUAGCUAGUUGGUGGGGUAACGGCCUACCAAGGCGACGAUCCGUAGCUGAUCUUAGAGGAUGAGCAGCCACACUGGGACUGAGACACGGCCCAGACUCCUACGGGAGGCAGCAGUGGGGAAUCUUGGACAAUGGGCGCAAGCCUGAUCCAGCCAUGCCGCGUGAGUGAAGAAGGUCUUCGGAUUGUAAAGCUCUUUUGCCAGGGACGAUAAUGACGGUACCUGGAGAAUAAGCCCCGGCAAACUUCGUGCCAGCAGCCGCAGUAAAAC